rnacentral:misc_RNA from 1 species
UUCUUCAAGGGCGUAAAUUCAUCGCGGGCAUUGAUCAAAGAACAACACAGUGUUGUGGCGCAAAAAGAUUUGGUGGGAUUCAGCUCGUGGAGUGAAGUGUUGUCAGCAGCAGGUGCAACAUAUGCAUCUAACCCUUGGGCUACUCCCGUUCCUGCGGUGAUCGAAAAUGUAACACCAUUGCUUGUGCAAGGUCAGCGCAUAUUGAGAGAUGAGCAAGGACAAGCGGUGAGGAUCAGCAAUCGCUUUGAAGACAUCUGGAAAUUG